rnacentral:rRNA from 1 species
GAUCCUGGCUCAGAAUCAACGCUGGCGGCGUGCCUAACACAUGCAAGUCGAACGCGAAAGUCCCGCAAGGGAUUAGUAGAGUGGCAAACGGGUGAGUAACACGUGGGUGACCUGCCUUCGAGUGGGGGAUAACGUCCCGAAAGGGACGCUAAUACCGCAUAACAUGCUGCCUUUUAACAGGCGGACAUCAAAGCUGGGGAUCGCAAGACCUAGCGCUGGAAGAGGGGCCCGCGCCUGAUUAGCUAGUUGGUGGGGUAAUGGCUCACCAAGGCAACGAUCAGUAGCCGGCCUGAGAGGGCGGACGGCCACACUGGGACUGAGACACGGCCCAGACUCCUACGGGAGGCAGCAGUGGGGAAUUGUUCGCAAUGGGCGCAAGCCUGACGACGCAACGCCGCGUGGAGGAUGAAGAUCUUCGGGUCGUAAACUCCUUUCGAUCGAGACGAAUGGCCUUCGGGUGAACAAUCCGGAGGAAUGACGGUACCGAGAGAAGAAGCCCCGGCUAACUCCGUGCCAGCAGCCGCGGUAAUACGGGGGGGGCAAGCGUUGUUCGGAGUUACUGGGCGUAAAGGGCUCGUAGGUGGCCAACUAAGUCAGACGUGAAAUCCCUCGGCUUAACCGGGGAACUGCGUCUGAUACUGGAUGGCUUGAGUUUGGGAGAGGGACGCGGAAUUCCAGGUGUAGCGGUGA